CCUGUGAUGAUAAGUAGGAUUUUGGAAGAGUUUGAGGGGAGAAGAAAUGGGAAGAAGUGAGGGUUUAGGGUCCAGGCAGGUGCUGCCCUGAUGCAAGUGCACCAGCUGUGAUGACAUCACCUUCUCCCCUCCUCAGCACCCACAGGAAAGGUGUCACAAUCCCUGUGCACAGCGCAAGCUCUGAUUACAGAAACAGGAAUUCCAGUGCGGAGAAGAGGGCACAUAACCUGCCACCUACACCCACGGAAUUCCAGGCACCUCUGGCACGGGAUCCAUUUCAGUCGUUACAAAGCAUCUUUCCUCCUUCCUGGGAAGGAAGCAGUGGUGGGUAACAGACCCCACCCAAGAAUGUUGAGGCUCAGUUCUGGGACAAGGGGAGAGGCUGGUCCUGUGCACUCCAGCUCCCAAGCUUGGAAACUCCUGUGAAGCUCAGUCAGAGCUCCUGCAACAGAGAGCCCUUUGCCCAUCACCAAAACCUCAUGCUCAGGAGAGAUCCCUGGCCUGUGGCAUCCCUUCUGAUUUCCAAGGCAGCACUGGAGCAAGGCUGGCUCUGGGGACCUUGGUGCUCCUUGAACAUCCACAGAAGUCAGGAGCCACUGUGCCGUGAAAUCAGCACCAGAUCUGCCGCCAGCCCCACACGGCCAGGAUAUGAGUCCAAGAUACGAGUGGCAGUGGGGUUUGAAUGGCAAAGAAGAAGCUGCACUCAAACUUCUCCGGCUGACCCCAUCUCCCUUUGUGCCUGGCUGCUUGCUCCCAGAGGAUUCCCGGCUUGUGGGAGGAACAGGAGUGGCUAGGGGACGGAAGGUAUCUUCCUCUCCCUCCGCCUCUCCCUUCAUUAAAGAUGUCACCUCUCAUUUAC